rnacentral:rRNA from 1 species
AGCGAACGCUGGCGGCAGGCCUAACACAUGCAAGUCGAACGAACCCUUCGGGGUUAGUGGCGGACGGGUGAGUAACACGUGGGAACGUGCCUUUAGGUUCGGAAUAACUCAGGGAAACUUGUGCUAACACCGAAUGUGCCCUUCGUGGGAAAGAUUUAUCGCCUUUAGAGCGGCCCGCGUCUGAUUAGCUAGUUGGUGAGGUAAUGGCUCACCAAGGCUACGAUCAGUAGAUGGUCUGAGAGGAUGACCAGCCACAUUGGGACUGAGACACGGCCCAAACUCCUACGGGAGGCAGCAGUGGGGAAUCCUGCGCAAUGGGCGAAAGCCUGACGCAGCCAUGCCGCGUGGAUGAUGAAGGUCUUAGGAUUGUAAAAUCCUUUCACCGGUGAAGAUAAUGACUGUAGCCGGAGAAGAAGCCCCGGCUAACUUCGUGCCAGCAGCCGCCGUAAAAC